AUUGAACGCUGGCGGCAGGCCUAACACAUGCAAGUCGAGCGAGCGGCGCGCGGGUGAGUAAUGUAUGGGGCUCUGCCCUAGAGAGGGGGAUCAAUACUGGACACGGUGGCUAACACCGCAUACUAUUGGAUGAACACAUAUGGGAGUAGCUAGUAGGUGGGGUAAAGGCUCACCUAGGCGACGAUCUCUAGGUGGUCUGAGAGGAUGAUCAGCCAAACUGGGACUGAGACACGGCCCAGACUCCUACGGGAGGCAGCAGUGGGGAAUAUUGCACAAUGGGCGCAAGCCUGAUGCAGCCAUGCCGCGUGUAUGAAGAAGGCCUUAGGGUUGUAAAGUACUUUCAGCGGGGAGGCGUUACCCGCAGAAGAAGCACCGGCUAACUCCGUGCCAGCAGCCGCGGUAAUUC
rnacentral:rRNA from 1 species